AUGGGAGAUCGGAUGAGCGGUGGACUUCACCCUGACCUUACAUUGUUUUCCAGUCCCUCAAUCGUGUCUGACUUUGUGCCCCCACGGACUGCAACAUGCCAGGCUUCCCUGUCCUUCAUUAUCUCCCAGAGUUUGCUCAGACUCAUGUCCAUCAAUUCGGUGAUGCGAUCCAACCAUCUCAUCCUCUGUCACCUCCUUCUCUUGCCUUCAAUCUUUCCCAGCAUCAGCGUCUUUUCCAAUGAGUUGGCUCUUCACAUCAGGAGGCCAAAGUAUUGGAGCUUCAGCCUCAGCAUCAGUCUUUUCAAUGAACGUUCAGGAUUGAUUUCCUUUAGGAUUGACUGACUGAGCUUACAUGUCUACUGGUUGUUCCUGUCACUCCAGAGGUUUCCAUCCCUCAGUGAUUCAGGAGGCCUCUGGGGACCCAGUGGAAAGUGAGAGUAAAGUCGCUCAGUCGUGUCUGACUCUUUGCGACCCCAUGGACUGUAGCCUAUCAGGCUCCUCCGUCCAUGGGACUUUCCAGGCAAGAGUGCUGGAGUGGAUUGCCGUUUCCUUCUCCAGGGGAUCUUCUCAACCCAGGGAUUGAACCCAGGUCUCCCGCAUUGCAGGCAGAUGCUUUACCGUCUGAGCCACCAGGGAAGCCUGGUGAAUGAGGUCAGUUCACUGUGACGCAGCGCUCCAUCAGCUGUAGAUACACACCCUUUAUCUUUUCCUGUCCAUUUAGGUGUGAAGUGAGAAAGCAUGGAAUGUAGUCAAAGACCACUUUGUCUCUCAAGAGAACAGGGAGGAGAUGGGCUGGCCACCUGCUGGGAUGCCAUGGGGAGGGGGCGGUCCCACUUAAAUGUAGGGAGACGGGCUCCCAGCUUUACAUUCCAUGCUCUCUUUUAAAAGUUUAUUUAUUUAUUUAUUGGUUGUGCUGAGUCUUCGUUGCUGCACGCGGGCUUUCUCCUAUUGC
rnacentral:lncRNA from 1 species